rnacentral:lncRNA from 1 species
CUAGACUGUCUAUAUACAGUAGUAAAAACGUGUGAACUGUAUUUUUUAAUGAUUUGAUAGAAUGUGUAGAACAAUAAAGCCAUACAAUCAACGCACAGUGAUGUGACUUUCUCUGCACAUGUUGCAGGUUCAAAAAGUAUGGCGGGAGCUGUUGCCAAGGUUCCGACCAGAAAAGACAGCCAGUAUAAAAGUGUCCACACCACUGAUCUCUACUACAGGGGAUGGACAGCACAUCGAGCACCCUUGACUGAAGCCAACCUUGUCCCGGAUGUUGGUGCUUCACAACUUUGCAGCAGCACUUCGUUUGCACAGCAAGUUUAUCCUUGCAAGCGUUUGGGGUCAACAACAACUUUCACCAGGAAGAAGUGCAAGACGAGUGAUUGAAGAAAAUAAAGUUGCUUGUGUGAUCUA